rnacentral:misc_RNA from 1 species
GCAAACUUGGUCAUUUAGAGGAAGUAAAAGUCGUAACAAGGUUUCCGUAGGUGAACCUGCGGAAGGAUCAUUAACAAUUGUCCACGAUAAUGGAUAAUUUAUCCAUAUCCACCUUGUGUGAAUCAUUGACGUGUUUAUUGGCAGGUUAUCUGAAAAGAUGUGAGCAGCUCGCUGCUCGGCCUGCCAAUUUUAUUAUGUGUAAACAUGGCUAAACAUUAUUUGUCUGAAAUAUAUUAUUUAUAAUAAAAACAACUUUCAACAACGGAUCUCUUGGCUCUCGCAUCGAUGAAGAACGCAGC